AAUGAUUAAAUAUAUACUUAAGAGUACAAAUGAAUAUCCUAAUGUGCCAUCGAUCGAUUAACUUUUACUACAAACUACUUAAGGAGAUACUUCAUGCUAGAUUUGUGCAUGUCAUUUGCAUAUUGAGAUCUUGACCAAAUCAUGGUCAAGUAAGGCAAAGACGUGCUUGCUUUGGUUAGAGUAGCUCUUCCACCACCGUUUGAAUAAUUCUGAAAAAUCCUCAAGGCUCAU
rnacentral:lncRNA from 1 species